rnacentral:misc_RNA from 1 species
GAUGAAGAACGUAGCGAACUGCGAUAAGUAAUGUGAAUUGCAGAAUUCAGUGAAUCAUCGAAUCUUUGAACGCACAUUGCGCCCGCCAGUAUUCUGGCGGGCAUGCCUGUCUGAGCGUCAUUUCAACCCUCAUGCCCCUAGGGCGUGGUGUUGGGGAUCGGCCAAAGCCCGCGAGGGACGGCCGGCCCCUAAAUCUAGUGGCGGACCCGUCGUGGCCUCCUCUGCGAAGUAGUGAUAUUCCGCAUCGGAGAGCGACGAGCCCCUGCCGUUAAACCCCCAACUUUCCAAGGUUGACCUCAGAUCAGGUAGGAAUACCCGCUGAACUUAAGCAUAUCAAUAAGCGGAGGA